GGGUAACGGCUCACCUAGGCGACGAUCCCUAGCUGGUCUGAGAGGAUGACCAGCCACACUGGAACUGAGACACGGUCCAGACUCCUACGGGAGGCAGCAGUGGGGAAUAUUGCACAAUGGGCGCAAGCCUGAUGCAGCCAUGCCGCGUGUAUGAAGAAGGCCUUCGGGUUGUAAAGUACUUUCAGCGGGGAGGAAGGGAGUAAAGUUAAUACCUUUGCUCAUUGACGUUACCCGCAGAAGAAGCACCGGCUAACUCCGUGCCAGCAGCCGCGGUAAUACGGAGGGUGCAAGCGUUAAUCGGAAUUACUGGGCGUAAAGCGCACGCAGGCGGUUUGUUAAGUCAGAUGUGAAAUCCCCGGGCUCAACCUGGGAACUGCAUCUGAUACUGGCAAGCUUGAGUCUCGUAGAGGGGGGUAGAAUUCCAGGUGUAGCGGUGAAAUGCGUAGAGGUCUGGANGGANANUACCGGUGGCGAAGGCGGCCCCCUGGACGAAGACUGACGCUCAGGUGCGAAAGCGUGGGGAGCAACCAGGANCCGAUACCCUGGUAGUCCACGCCGUAAACGAUGUCNACUUNGGAGGUUGUGCCCUUGAGGCGUGGCUUCCGGAGCUAACGCGUUAAGUCGACCGCCUGGGGAGUACGGCCGNCNAAGCCCAAAACUCAAAUGAAUUGACGGGGGCCCGCACAAGCGGUGGAGCAUGUGGUUUAAUUCGAUGCAACGCGAAGAACCUUACCUGGUCUUGACAUCCACGGAAGUUUUCAGAGAUGAGAAUGUGCCUUCGGGAACCGUGAGACAGGUGCUGCAUGGCUGUCGUCAGCUCGUGUUGUGAAAUGUUGGGUUAAGUCCCGCAACGAGCGCAACCCUUAUCCUUUGUUGCCAGCGGUCCGGCCGGGAACUCAAAGGAGACUGCCAGUGAUAGACUGGAGGAAGGUGGGGAUGACGUCAAGUCAUCAUGGCCCUUACGACCAGGGCUACACACGUGCUACAAUGGCGCAUACAAAGGGAAGCGACCUCGCGAGAGCAAGCGGACCUCAUAAAGUGCGUCGUAGUCCGGAUUGGAGUCUGCAACUCGACUCCAUGAAGUCGGAAUCGCUAGUAAUCGUGGAUCAAAAUGCCACGGUGAAUACGUUCCCGGGCCG
rnacentral:rRNA from 1 species